rnacentral:rRNA from 1 species
GGAGACCUCAGCUCAGGCGG